rnacentral:rRNA from 1 species
UACGAGGGGUGCAAGCGUUGCUCGGAAUUAUUGGGCGUAAAGGGUAGGUAGGUUGUCUUAUUUGUCUGGGGUGAAAUCCUUGAGCUUAACUCAAGAAGUGCCUUAGAAACGGUAAGACUAGAGUUCUAGAGGGGUUUGUGGAAUUCCCGGUGUAGCGGUGAAAUGCGUAGAGAUCGGGAGGAACACCAGAAGCGAAGGCGACAAACUGGAUAGAAACUGACACUCAACUACGAAAGCGUGGGGAUCAAACAGG